GGCUGGUGCAGGUGCUGGGGGGUCGGGGGGGGACCCUGGGGGGGUCUGUGGGGGGAGCGGGAGCAGCGAGGGGUGCUGUGGGGUCCCCAAAGGCUGUGUCUCCUCCGCAGGGCCCCGGCGUUGGCCAUGGUCACCCUCCUGGUCCUGGCCACCGUGGUGGCCGAUGAGCCCACGAGCACCCUGGACGUGGCCCUUUCUGCAGAAGGACAGACGCCAGAGCCCGUCAGCCCGGCCAAGCUGGAGGCCUCCGGAGAGAGUGAUCUCACCACCUCGGCACAGCGCCUGGGCAAAGGCCUGACCCCCCUGGCCUUGGAGGGUGCGGAGCGUUCUCCCGCCGAGGACUCGAGGGGGGAGUCCCUGGGCAGCGACUCCUCCAGCCUCGACCCCCUCAACAGCGGCUCCUUCAGCGCCGACGCCAGCGCCGGGGAGGCCCGAGGAGGUGGGUGCCCCCCCCGACCUCCCCAC
rnacentral:lncRNA from 1 species